AAAAAUGUCUAUAUAUUUCGAAAAUAGAUGACAAAGACCAACUUUUGUUGAAUUCUAAGGAAAAGGGGAUUUCUGAGGACCAGAGUGGCCAUGCAUCGCUUCCCAUAAGAGGUGGCUCGCACCGGGGGGCUGAAGAUUGUGGUGGCAGGAAGGGGACCUCUGUGACUCCUCGGGGAUGGCCCCAUCUCAGGAUGGCCAGGAAGGCGGGCCCCGGCAGCUGCGUUCAGGGCGGAUGGGGCCCCUCAAGGUGAGGUCGAGGAGGCCGCCCUUCCUCCUCUCCAUCUCUGAGGACCGAAAGCAAAUUCAGUGCCAAGUCAGAAUGGGAGAGACGCCACCCAGGAAGCAGCCCGCCCCACGCGGCCAGGAGCGAGACUGGGCACUCCUCCCACCCACAGCCACGACACUUCCUCUGCAGGACCCUUCCCUGUGGGGCCGGGGGCUCUCCAGGCCUGGCUGCCAGCAGGAUGACCCCAGAGGGAUGGCCACAGGUCAAGAGUCAGGAGGCACGGCCUGUCCUGUGGGAAUCACAAGACGCCCAGCCCGACAUCCCUCUCGAAGAUUCCAGCUCUGGGUCCAGACCCCCCAGUUUUAGGUUCACAGAAAAACUGAGCAAGAAGUACAGAGAAUUCAUCAACAAGCUCCCUCAGGUGACUCUACUGUGGCCCAGGUGGGAACCCCACAUGAGCGCCAGCGCAGCAUCCAGAGGACCAGAGAAUGGUCCCCGGCCCACCCCGCCCAGUGCCUGUAGAGGCGGGAGCUGCCACCAGAGAGCCGGAAGAACCCGGGAAGAACCCGGGACCCCCGGCUAAUUCAUGGAUCAACAAACUCCAGCCCUCAGGCCAAAUCUGGCCCCACCACUUGUUUGGGUACAGCCCACAAGCUAGGAGUGGUUUUACAUUUUUUAAUGGUUGGAAAAAAUAUCAGAAGAUUUCGUGAUGUGAAAACAUUUACUAGGGGGCCCGUUACAGAAAAAGUUUACCGACCCUGCACCAUGAGAUUCCACCACCGGGGAGCCGCCCCUCAGGAAGGAGCCCAGCUCCGAUUCCCCCCAGGCCUUACAGGUCCCCUCCCUGUGCUCAGGGGGCUGCAGGUGCGGCCAGCAGGGGUGAACCUGCUCUUCUGAGAGCCUUCCCUGUCACUCCCCCCAACACUGCCAGCUCCUCCACCGACCUCUAGCUGGGUCUGUUCUGCUUGUUUGUACCGUCUGGCUGUCUAGAGGCCCGAGGAGGAAAACCAAGCCGGCACAGAGCACAGCCGGCUGACCCUGCGCUCUCCGGAGCAGAGCCCAGGCUGUCUGUCCACACAAGGGCUGACUCAGACCCUCCUCUCCGGCCUCAAUGGUUUUCAUUGAUUCCUGUCCUGAAAAUGUCCCCAAGCUUCACCACCUUUCUCUGCUACAGAUCAAAACAUGGUCUGUCUGGGAGCCACAGUGCAGGCUGCUCUGGGUCCCCUGCAUUCCUGGCCCACGGGGCGUCUACUCUGACCUGUAAUAGACGCUGGCAGAGGCCUACCUGGAGUGAUUGAAGAGGCUCUGGAAAGGCUUUCAGAAUAAAAACACCCCCACCCGCCAUGGUCUGAAGGAUUUCCACCCAACAGACAGACUUUCACAAUGCAAACCACUCUAUCUUUCAGUGAAUUAAUUUAAUGAGACUGUCCAGCUCACGGCCACUAGGACAGCCUGGCAUGGAGGGGGCUGGGGGCUGGGCAAGGGGUGGGAUGAGCUCCUGGGUGCUGUGCUCUCAGCACAGUGGCCGCAGGGAAGGGUGCAGAGGACAGAACCACAGCGACAUGCUUUUCGGAAGGGGCACCGAUGACCCGGCCAGCAGGGGACACUGAUGCCAGAGUUGGGGACACCCAGCUCUGAUCCUAAGCCAGAGCCUCCAGGGGCUGUUCUCCCACCCAACCCAGGGAGCAAGCCAGGGCCGGCGGGCAGGGAGGAACCCGGACUAUUCUUUCCAAAGCCUGGGCCUGCCCCAGUCCGGCUGGCGGGGUGGGGACGGGAAGGGGAAGAGCGAGGGCCUGAGCCCAGGGCACGGACGUUAGUUCUGCUCUGCAGGAUCCAGAUUAAACAGCUCCAGGCAGGAAGCCCGCCUUCUCCAAGAUUGGUCAGGAAGUCAUGAUGCAAGUUUGCGCUUUUUUUUUUUAAACACGAAAGAGAAAAAGAGAUUCGUGCCCCCCUCACCAGCACUCCGGCCCUUCCCAUAGGGGCAGACAAUCUCCUCCCUGGCCGGCGACCCUCCUCUCCAGCGCCCCGGGCGAAGGCACCAGCCGCGCUCUCGGGGGCACUCGCCUCCCGCUCCCGUGGGCGCUGGGGUGCCAUCCCUCUGCCACCCGCUGCCGCCCUCCCAGCCCGGCGCUCGGACGGGGACCCCGCCGAGGCCGCCCGCGCCGCCCCGGCCUCCCCGGCGCUCUCAUGCUUCUGGAAUGCGGGCGCCCAGGGCCGCGCGUCCCGGGGAAUCUCUGCGCCCGCCCGCGCACGGCCCUUGCCCGGCCGGGAAGUAGGGAGCGGGGACGCAGCCCCUGUCCCAGCCCAGAGCCCGCCGCGCCCGCCCCACU
rnacentral:lncRNA from 1 species